rnacentral:rRNA from 1 species
UAUUAUAAUAAAAUGUAUUAUUAUUAAAAUGGAGUAGUAGUAGAUUUAUGUUCUUAAAACUUAAUAAAUUUGGCGGUAUUUUAAUCUAAUCAGAGGAAUUUGUUUUAUAAUUGAUAAUCCCCAUUAUAUCUUACUUAAUUUAUUUAAUUUAUAUAUCGUCGUCAUAAGAAUUUAUUUUAAAAUAAAAAAUUUUCUUGAUUUUAAAAUUAAUAAGAUGUCAGAUCAAGGUGUAGUUUAUAAUUAAGAAAAAAUGAAUUACAAUAAAUUUAUUUAUACGAAUAAUUAUUUUUAAUAAUAAUUUGAAGGUGGAUUUGUUAGUAAAAUUAAUUUUAAUAAUAAUAGUUUGACUAUAGUUCUAAAAUAUGCACAUAUCGCCCG